rnacentral:rRNA from 1 species
UACGUAGGGUGCGAGCGUUGUCCGGAAUUACUGGGCGUAAAGAGCUUGUAGGUGGUUUGUCGCGUUGUUCGUGAAAACUCACAGCUCAACUGUGGGCGUGCGGGCGAUACGGGCAGACUAGAGUACUGCAGGGGAGACUGGAAUUCCUGGUGUAGCGGUGGAAUGCGCAGAUAUCAGGAGGAACACCGGUGGCGAAGGCGGGUCUCUGGGCAGUAACUGACGC